CACUGCCUGAGGGGAGCCGCAGGGCCAUGCACGGCAAGCCCCUAGGGAGAAGCCAAGACUUCCUGCUGCACAGGACGUCCUUCCUUCCCUCGCCUCCUCCAGCCCCUUGUGCUUACAUCCAGCCAGGCGGCGCUGCUCACCCCAGGUUUGGCCCGAUGACUGACGGCCUGCACAGAAUUCCUUCUAGGAGCGCAGAAACACGACGGGGAGGAUGAGGGGCAUGGCUGUCCCAUAAAGGAAGGAGGGUAGGGCUGGGGUGGGGAGAGCUGCCGGCCAGGCUCAGAUGCCCUUAGAAGGAGGGCCUGCAGCCAGACCAGCUCUGUGGGGGUCUGCAGCCCUGAGGAGAGGACCUGAGAGUCAAAUCAAGACACAGAAGCGGGGAAAAGCAGCUGCUGAGGGGGCGCUGGGAGGCUGAGAAAAGGCAGUGCUCAUGCAAGUGGCUACGCCUGGAGGGGGCGAGGUUGAGAGCCUCCGAGGGCCGGUGCCUGCGGGUCAGGGGCGCCUACGGGUUCAUGCCUGCACCCCACACAUGGCCUAAGCAUGUGUCCCUUUGAUCAUUAUUUGCUCAGCGGCUACUGAGUGAACCUGCCACUCUGGGUAAAGGCGACUCCCUGUCACUUGGUGCUCUUUUGGUUUGUGUCCGUCCUAGAGCUGAGCCGGGUGGCUCCUCGCUGGCGUUUGCCCUGCUGGAGUUCGCCUGCGCGUUUGUCUUAGGCACCUGGCUGUCCAUAGAUGUGUGUGGUGGGGGCGUACUCAGCCAGAUAUUUUGCUUUGCCUCCUCCAGUUUCCUGUGUCUCCCCCCACAGCCUGCCAGUUCCCAGCCCGGUCCCCCACCUUACUUUGGUGGGAGGAGCUGUGAGCCCAGCAGUUUGGGGCCCGGCCUGCAGCGCCUCUUGGCUGCUGCUUGCUGAGGACGGGCAGGCUUUGGCUGAGCCCCUGGCACCCCAUGUUUAGGCACCCAGCCUUCUUGACCUCUCCACUGGUGGUCCCCAUUCUCUCAGCUUCCACUUCCCAGGCAGGUCCCCCAAUUUAUGAAUGGGUUGAGGAUCCUUUUGCUGACCUGGAAGAUGCUGGCUCUCACACGCUGGAGGUGUUAAUGGAGCUUGGGUCCCUGGGAAUGAGUCAAAACAACUCAUUUAAUGGAAGGCCAUUAGGGGAGAAGAGGGAGCUAGACACGAGUGUCUCUGCUAAGGUAAUUGAAAGAAUAAAAUUUUAAAAAAAGAGAAAAAAGUGGACAAGAGAAACAUCAGCCAACUUGACUCUCGGCUGCUAAGUAGUUGAGUCAAGAUAGCCCUGAGGAUAGAGAAAAUGGUGAAAAUUUGCCACCAUUUGGAAAACGAAUAAUGAAAUGAAAUCAGGGAGAAAUGACAGUUACUCAUCUUGGCUCAGCUCUGGAAAUGUUCUCUGCAAACAGAAAGCAUCUUCUCCAGGCUCGGUCGCGGGCGUGGCAUCGCCCCCACCCUGGCGCUGCUCCGCGAGUCGGGCACACACAACCGUUCCCGGGCUUGUGCCUCCUCCUGCUCCCACUGCUGCCCCAGGGCCGCCUGUUCCUUCCCUCCAUCACUGAUGGAGCAGCUUCCACGUGGUCACUCACCCAGUGCCUUCUGCUCUAGGGGCCCAGAUAUAGUGGAGAGAAACAAACAUUUCUGCCUUCUGGGUUUAUAAUGUAAUAGUAAUGGUGGGGAAGCAGGAAACCGCCAACACACAGGUCAGUAAAACACGCAGGCUGCACAUUGUGGGAGGUGAACGCAGCAGGAAUGGUGGUGGCUGGGGCAGACUGAAGUUAGAGAAGGCAAAUUCCAGACACAAGGGACACUGCGGGCUAGUGGCGUGGAAGCAUGGGAGUGCCGGCUGGUCUGUGCUGUCUGGGGACUGAGUCUGCAGGCAGGGCUGGGCAAAGGGAGCCCGCCAGCAGCGGGAGGAUGGUCUCAAAGCUAUUUUUCUCAUGUAGCCACAUGCUGUACACACCUUUCCAAAUCAGUGCAUUCUAGAUCAGGGCAAAUAGCCUAUGCCUCCGACUACAGGUGCCUCUGGUAACCCAGGUGGGGUCAUUCACGCAAAAAGCACCUACUGAGCACUUACUCUGCGCAAAGCAUGGUUCUAGAGUUUGGAGAUAAUAAGAUGCAAAGAUGAAGUCCUUCCCUUCAUGGAGCUUAUGUUCUAUGGGGGAGACAGAAUACAUAGGCAAAUAAGGAUAAGCAGUUAGAAUGUUCAAUAGUGUGACUCCAGUGGCGCCAGGAGGGCGUCCGGGAGAAAAGAUGGGGAGAGGACUGCAGGCAGAGGGACCAGGAGGUGGGAAGCCCUGGAUCGGUGGAGAGGCGGGCUGGCGUGCAGCAGGAGGAGAGUUCCGCACAGAGAGGAGCAGGCCCGGGCCGUGUGGGACCCGACAGGCCACCGUAAGGACUUGGCAUGUUAUUUGUGGUGUGAAGGGAGGCCCUUGGGGAGGGCAGGUUGGGACCGCCCUGAUGUGCCUGGCAGCUUAGCAGAACUGUGCUGGCUGCUGUGUGGAAAUCAGACAGGGGUCGGGACAGAAGCGGAAGCAGAAAGCACGAGGGCACGAGGGGAUGGAUGGUUGAGCCCAGCUGGUGGCAGUGGGAGGUGAGGGGGUCAGACCUGGGCACCCUUUCAGAGGGCUCACCCCGAUGGAUCACAGAGUGAGUUAUGGCCCAGGCCGCGCCUCUCAGAAUGCAGCCCCGGUGGUCAUGAGCCACCAGCUGCCUGGCACCAUAGUUCUGUGAUGCACAUGGUAGAACUGGUUCUGAGUGGCAGAACCUGAAUUAGGAAGUGAGUGUCCAAAGUUCUUUGAUCCAGAACAUCUUAACAUAGCAUAUUUGGUUGGGAAAUUGUGGCCAAAAUGUGCUUGAAAUUGUAAUCUGCCUGGCAGGUCAACUGUAUUUGGGUUUCCAACAAGCAGCGGCAAGCAUAUGGAGCCCACUGAACCGCUCCAGGCCGUUGCAGACACUAACUCAUGGGAGAAGCCCCAAAGCAGUGUGCCUAGUGGCCACGUCAGUCACCGCCCUGCUCACUUCCCACUGGCCUUGGACAGCCCUGACCUACUGCACAGACGGAGACAGAGCAGGGCUGGGAGGGUGAUCACUAGGUGGGCCCAAAAGCCAGAGAGGGAAGCCCAGCAGCCUUCUGACCCGCAUCUUCGUUCAGUGAGAGGUGUCCUGAGUGUGAGCCUUCCCCAAAGACUGCUCCAAGUCCCUCUGCAGCGACAAGUGUCCUGUCACUUGGUUGGAGUGUGUCGGGGAGGAGAGGGGGCUGAGGAUGGAGACUCUGUCCAUCACAUCAGAGCAAGCAAAGAAAGGUGUGCUCUGGGCACUGCCACGGGCAGCAAGGGGCUGAGUUGCAGCUGCUUCCUUGGCAAAGCAAACAGGAGGCAAGGAUGCUGGGCAGGACACACUGAAGACAAAGAUAAACGACCAGAGGGACAGAAGGCCCUGUUGUCUCAGCACAAAGCCAGGCUUCCAGGUUUGGCUUUCCCUCUCCGGCCCUAGGGCAUGGGGUACUCAAAGCACAUUUAAAGUGCCUAAAGGAGUUUCUCCUGGGUGAGGCAGAGCCCAUUUUUAUGUCUGAAAAGAAAGACAUCCUGGGAGCAAGAGAAGCUACUUCUGUCUGUCACAGCUGCGGGCUUACAGAGCUGGACCCAUGUGACAUUUGGUUUUCUUAACUGAUACAGCUUUCCCAAAAUAUGUACCCAAAAUAUUUUCCCAAAAUACAAGGAGGUAGGUACAAUUUUCCCAGAGUCAGGAGUACUGUGCUCAGAGUCAAGUUUUUGAAAGAGCCAGAUAAGGGACUGGACACAUCCCUUCUUUUUCAUUAGUUGGCUGUAUUCAAGUGAGAUCCUGCUAAAAUCUCAAGCCCCUCCUACACACGUGGCCCCUACCACCAGUCAGGGCCUCGGGGCCUGGGCCUGACCUCAGCCGAGUCACAGGAGGACCCAAGAGGAAUCUCCAGGGGUGAGGGCCAGACGGCGUGUCCCAGGCUGAGCUCCAACCACUGAUGCCACUUGAGGGCUGGGACGUGUCAUCACGGGGAAGGGGUCUGUGCUUACGCUGGGGAACAGUAGGGUUGGCAAACUCAGUGUUUUUUAGCUUUGAGUCCCGUGGCCUUUGCGUGCAUGUGCCUAGUGACUUCCCGAGAGCCGCAGCAGCACCACUCUGGGGAGGCUUGAUUAGAGUGCCCUUGGAGGGGGCAGGCUUCACACGCCCAGGAGAUGCUGAUGAGCAGAGUCCUUCUGAAGGGCGUCAGGGGUGGACCCCCCCAGGUGGGUGUGAAAAUGCAAUGCCCGAGUCCAGGUGAGUGAGUGAUGUCCUCGGGGUGGGGCAGGGGUGUAUGGGGUCCCUGGAGUUUGAAUCCCAUGUUCCCCAAUGGAACACCUGGGACGGGCUUGGUAAGUGGUGGGGACCCCUGAGACCAGGGUGCCCCAGGGGGUGUGAGGGGCAGUGGGGAGUCAACAAGGUAGCUCCGGACCAGAGUACCAGAAAGAAAACAGGAGAGCAAGUCUGGUCUGAGCUGAGAAGUGGGAUUUCAUCUGAUAGCCUGCCCGGAUAACGGCAGGUCCAAGAAGCCCCAGGAUGAUUUCUUAGGUGAUGGUUUUGAAGGAGAAGGGAGAGACUGGGAGAUUCCAAGCAGAAGGCAGCGUGGAGGUGGGGUGGUUGUGGCACUCCCCUUAUUGUUCUUUUGGGUGAACAGGUAUCAGAAAUCCAGCAUGCUUGCUUCCACCACCUUGAACCACAAGGGUCCAUGUGCCACCUAAUUCGCUGCUAGCCCAUGAGAACAAGGCCACUGUUACCCGUUCUCCCAGGACUGGGCAGGCUCAGCCUAAGCUGAUCAAGUAAACUAACAUCACAGACUCCUUCCUCAUAUACUGGUUUAUUGCAGCAGGAAAAGAGAACGAUGUACUCCAAAUCUUAGGGCUGCGACACACUGAUGUUCCUUCCAGGCCUUCCGAGGCCAUGUUCCCCAUGGAAAGUAACCUGGAUACAGCCAAGAGGUAAUAUUUCAGAUAAGCAGAAACAGGGAUCAGAUGCUCCCUGCAAUGGCUUUAGGAAUUUUGGAAAGGACAGGCAUA